AGCGAACGCUGGCGGCAGGCCUAACACAUGCAAGUCGAACGACCUCUUCGUAGUUAGUUGCUGUCGGGUGUGUCACACGUCGGAACGUUCCUGUUGGUACGGGAUACCUCAGGUACACUUGUGCUAAUACCGAGUGAGCCCUGCGGGGGCAACAUUUGUCCCACUUGUUGCGGCCCGCGUCGGAUUAGCUUGUUGGGGUGGUAACGGCGGACCAAGGCGUGGAUCAGUAGCUGGUUUGAGAGGAAGACCAGCCACACUGGGACUGAGAACCGGCCCAGACUCCUACGGGAGGCAGCAGUGGGGAAUCUUGCGAAAUGGGCGAAAGCCUGACGCAGCCAUGCUGCGUGAAUGAUGAAGGUCGUAGGAUUGUAAAAUUCUUUCACCGGGGACGAUAAUGACGGUACCCGGAGAAGAAGCCCCGGCUAACUUCGUG
rnacentral:rRNA from 1 species